rnacentral:rRNA from 1 species
UACGAAGGGGGAGCUAGCGUUGUUCGGAAUCACUGGGCGUAAAGCGCACGCAGGCGGAUCGUUAAGUCAGGGGUGAAAUGCCGAGGCUCAACCUCGGAACUGCCUUUGAUACUGGCGAUCUUAGAGUCCGGGAGAGGUGAGUGGAACUCCGAGUGUAGAGGUGAAAUUCGUAGAUAUUCGGAAGAACACCAGUGGCGAAGGCGGCUCACUGGCCCGGUACUGACGCUCAGGUGCGAAAGCGUGGGGAGCAAACAGG